rnacentral:rRNA from 1 species
AUGAACGCUGGCGGCGUGCCUAAUACAUGCCGGUCGAGCGCACGGACGAGAAGCUUGCUUCUCUGAUGUUAGCGGCGGACGGGUGAGUAACACGUGGAUAACCUACCUAUAAGACUGGGAUAACUUCGGGAAACCGGAGCUAAUACCGGAUGAUAUUUUGAACCGCAUGGUUCAAAAGUGAAAGACGGUCUUGCUGUCACUUAUAGAUGGAUCCGCGCUGCAUUAGCUAGUUGGUAAGGUAACGGCUUACCAAGGCAACGAUGCAUAGCCGACCUGAGAGGGUGAUCGGCCACACUGGAACUGAGACACGGUCCAGACUCCUACGGGAGGCAGCAGUAGGGAAUCUUCCGCAAUGGGCGAAAGCCUGACGGAGCAACGCCGCGUGAGUGAUGAAGGUCUUCGGAUCGUAAAACUCUGUUAUUAGGGAAGAACAUAUGUGUAAGUAACUGUGCACAUCUUGACGGUACCUAAUCAGAAAGCCACGGCUAACUACGUG